rnacentral:rRNA from 1 species
AGCCAUGCGAGUCAUUGUAGUAAUACAAGGCAGACGGCUCAGUAACGCGUAGUCAACCUAACCUAUGGACGGGAAUAACCUCGGGAAACUGAGUAUAAUGCCCGAUAGAACAUUAUGCCUGGAAUGGUUUAUGUUCCAAAUGAUUUAUCGCCGUAGGAUGGGACUGCGGCCUAUCAGUUUGUUGGUGAGGUAAUGGCCCACCAAGACUAUUACAGGUACGGGCUCUGAGAGGAGUAGCCCGGAGAUGGGUACUGAGACACGGACCCAGGCCCUAUGGGGCGCAGCAGGCGAGAAAACUUUGCAAUGUGCGAAAGCACGACAAGGUUAAUCCGAGUGGUUUCUGCUAAAGGAACCUUUUGUCGGUCCUAGAAACACCGAUGAAUAAGGGGUGGGCAAGUUCUGGUGUCAGCCGCCGCGGUAAAACCAGCACCUCAAGUGGUCAGGAUGAUUAUUGGGCCUAAAGCAUCCGUAGCCGGCUCUGUAAGUUUUCGGUUAAAUCUGUACGCUCAACGUACAGGCUGCCGGGAAUACUGCAGAGCUAGGGAGUGGGAGAGGUAGACGGUACUCGGUAGGAAGGGGUAAAAUCCUUUGAUCUAUUGAUGACCACCUGUGGCGAAGGCGGUCUACCAGAACACGUCCGACGGUGAGGGAUGAAAGCUGGGGGAGCAAACCGGAUUAGAUACCCGGGUAGUCCCAGCUGUAAACUAUGCAAACUCAGUGAUGCAUUGGCUUGUGGCUAAUGCAGUGCUGCAGGGAAGCCGUUAAGUUUGCCGCCUGGGAAGUACGUACGCAAGUAUGAAACUUAAAGGAAUUGGCGGGG